CAAGUGUACGAGCUGUGCCCAAUCCUGUGAUCAACCCCUACCAGCCAGCACCUCCUUCAGGUUACUUCAUGGCAGCUAUCCCACAGACUCAGAACCGUGCUGCAUACUAUCCUCCUAGCCAAAUUGCUCAACUAAGACCAAGUCCUCGCUGGACUGCUCAGGGUGCCAGACCUCAUCCAUUCCAGAAUAUGCCCGGUGCUAUCCGCCCAGCUGCUCCUAGACCACCAUUUAGUACGAUGAGACCAGCUUCCUCACAGGUUCCACGAGUCAUGUCAACACAGCGUGUUGGUGAGUCUUAAACCGAGAAACAUUGAUUCCCCAAUUUAAAGUGGCACAACAAUCAAGGUAUUUUUUUUUUCUCUUUAGCUAACACAUCAACACAGACAAUGGGUCCACGUCCUGCAGCUGCUGCUACUGCAGCCACUCCUGCUGUCCGCACUGUUCCCCAGUAUAAAUACGCUGCGGGAGUCCGCAAUCCCCAGCAACAUCUUAAUGCACAGCCACAAGUUACCAUGCAACAGCCUGCGGUUCAUGUGCAAGGUCAAGAACCUUUAACUGCUUCCAUGUUGGCAUCUGCACCCCCGCAAGAGCAAAAGCAAAUGUUGGGUGAACGGCUGUUUCCUCUUAUUCAAGCCAUGCACCCUUCUCUUGCUGGCAAAAUUACUGGCAUGCUGUUGGAGAUUGAUAACUCAGAAUUGCUUCACAUGCUUGAGUCUCCAGAGUCUCUCCGCUCAAAGGU
rnacentral:lncRNA from 1 species